rnacentral:rRNA from 1 species
CGAUAGUGAACCAGUACCGUGAGGGAAAGGCGAAAAGAACCCCGGCGAGGGGAGUGAAAAAGAACCUGAAACCGUGUACGUACAAGCAGUGGGAGCACCCUUUGGGUGUGACUGCGUACCUUUUGUAUAAUGGGUCAGCGACUUAUAUUCUGUAGCAAGGUUAACCGAAUAGGGGAGCCGGAGGGAAACCGAGUCUUAACCGGGCGUUAAGUUGCAGGGUAUAGACCCGAAACCCGGUGAUCUAGCCAUGGGCAGGUUGAAGGUUGGGUAACACUAACUGGAGGACCGAACCGACUAAUGUUGAAAAAUUAGCGGAUGACCUGUGGCUGGGGGUGAAAGGCCAAUCAAACCGGGAGAUAGCUGGUUCUCCCCGAAAGCUAUUUAGGUAGCGCCUCGUGAAUUCAUCUCCGGGGGUAGAGCACUGUUUCGGCUAGGGGGCCAUCCCGGCUUACCAACCCGAUGCAAACUGCGAAUACCGGAGAAUGUUAUCACGGGAGACACACGGCGGGUGCUAACGUCCGUCGUGAAGAGGGAAACAACCCAGACCGCCAGCUAAGGUCCCAAAGUCAUGGUUAAGUGGGAAACGAUGUGGGAAGGCCCAGACAGCCAGGAUGUUGGCUUAGAAGCAGCCAUCAUUUAAAGAAAGCGUAAUAGCUCACUGGUCGAGUCGGCCUGCGCGGAAGAUGUAACGGGGCUAAACCAUGCACCGAAGCUGCGGCAGCGACACUGUGUGUUGUUGGGUAGGGGAGCGUUCUGUAAGCCUGUGAAGGUGUGUCGUGAGGCAUGCUGGAGGUAUCAGAAGUGCGAAUGCUGACAUAAGUAACGAUAAAGCGGGUGAAAAGCCCGCUCGCCGGAAGACCAAGGGUUCCUGUCCAACGUUAAUCGGGGCAGGGUGAGUCGACCCCUAAGGCGAGGCCGAAAGGCGUAGUCGAUGGGAAACGGGUUAAUAUUCCCGUACUUGGUGUUACUGCGAAGGGGGGACGGAGAAGGCUAUGUUGGCCGGGCGACGGUUGUCCCGGUUUAAGCGUGUAGGUGUGUGUUCCAGGUAAAUCCGGUUCACUUUAACACUGAGGCGUGACGACGAGGCACUACGGUGCUGAAGCAACAAAUGCCCUGCUUCCAGGAAAAGCCUCUAAGCAUCAGGUAACAUCAAAUCGUACCCCAAACCGACACAGGUGGUCAGGUAGAGAAUACCAAGGCGCUUGAGAGAACUCGGGUGAAGGAACUAGGCAAAAUGGUGCCGUAACUUCGGGAGAAGGCACGCUGACACGUAGGUGAAGUGAUUUACUCAUGGAGCUGAAGUCAGUCGAAGAUACCAGCUGGCUGCAACUGUUUAUUAAAAACACAGCACUGUGCAAACACGAAAGUGGACGUAUACGGUGUGACGCCUGCCCGGUGCCGGAAGGUUAAUUGAUGGGGUCAGCGCAAGCGAAGCUCCUGAUCGAAGCCCCGGUAAACGGCGGCCGUAACUAUAACGGUCCUAAGGUAGCGAAAUUCCUUGUCGGGUAAGUUCCGACCUGCACGAAUGGCGUAAUGAUGGCCAGGCUGUCUCCACCCGAGACUCAGUGAAAUUGAACUCGCUGUGAAGAUGCAGUGUACCCGCGGCAAGACGGAAAGACCCCGUGAACCUUUACUAUAGCUUGACACUGAACAUUGAGCCUUGAUGUGUAGGAUAGGUGGGAGGCUUUGAAGUGUGGACGCCAGUCUGCAUGGAGCCGACCUUGAAAUACCACCCUUUAAUGUUUGAUGUUCUAACGUGGACCCGUUACCCGGGUUGCGGACAGUGUCUGGUGGGUAGUUUGACUGGGGCGGUCUCCUCC